GAUGAACGCUGGCGGCGUGCUUAACACAUGCAAGUCGAACGGAAAGGCUCCUGCUUGCAGGGGUACUCGAGUGGCGAACGGGUGAGUAACACGUGGGUGAUCUGCCCUGCACUUCGGGAUAAGCCUGGGAAACUGGGUCUAAUACCGGAUAGGACGAUGGUUUGGAUGCCAUUGUGGAAUGUUUUUCGGUGUGGGAUGAGCUCGCGGCCUAUCAGCUUGUUGGUGGGGUAAUGGCCUACCAAGGCGUCGACGGGUAGCCGGCCUGAGAGGGUGUACGGCCACAUUGGGACUGAGAUACGGCCCAGACUCCUACGGGAGGCAGCAGUGGGGAAUAUUGCACAAUGGGCGCAAGCCUGAUGCAGCGACGCCGCGUGGGGGAUGACGGCCUUCGGGUUGUAAACUCCUUUCGCUAGGGACGAAGCGCAAGUGACGGUACCUGGAGAAGAAGCACCGGCUAACUACGUG
rnacentral:rRNA from 1 species